GGAGGUCAUGCUCAGAUUCCCUGCUGCUCCAGUGAUACACAAGCAGGACCACCUGGGGAGAAGUCACAGGGACCUUAAGACACAGAAAGGUAUCCACUGGGAGGUUUUAAGAAUGAAACAAGAGAAUGCAAGUAAAGGGCCUAGUACAGAGCCUGGCAUAUAGCCAAAGCAUAAAAGCUGCUACUGCAAAGCUGAGAAAUCCAAAUGAGAGAAAACGGACUAGAAUCUGGCAACAUUUUGGAACAUGCAUUCCAGUGUGUGGCUGUUCAGGUGAGUGUGCUGUUGCAUGAGAUGAUUAAGCAGUAACAUUCACAAUAGAAACAGGGGUGAGGGUGGCUGGGAGCACCCCCAUUUCUGACACCUCAAGUCCACCUCUGGGGACACCACUAUAAACACUGGUAGACUACUGCAGACAUUAUUAAAUGUUCAAAGAGUGACCGUGCAUUUCUAGUGAUGAUGAAAUAAAAGAAGUGUUCCUCAAAUAUAAGUAAAGGGUCAGAAAUAGCAAUAAAAAGAGAAUUUUAUGUGUACUUUUUGUAGGUGGAUGAAAACUUGCUUUCAUUAAUACCAGAGAAGCACUUCAGUCUCCUACCGUAUAAAACCUUGUGUUUUUCCACCUCCGAAUAGUCAGAUUUUCUUUCUGAAUGGGGUCAGAAAUCACUAGGGCAAAGGUAGCGAGCUCACUGCAUGUUGACUUGUUGCCUGAACUUUGUGGCCCCGUGAUUUACUGCCUGUGAGUGUGUUGGGCAAUAUGAGAACACUGAGCAGGGUGUCCUGGUUCUCUCUAGAGACCAUCCUCAUUUUUUUCUGUUUUGUGGCAUAUAUUCAGUGACCUACCCUGUAUUCACUGCGUAGAUGUCCAAUAACUCAGAAAGUGAUAAAAAACUACUGGUAGUUACCAGUAACCCAUACCUUAACUAUUGCUUUUUAAACUGUUCUGUUACAGUUCACAUAUUAUAAACUGACAUAUCCUUUUGAGGUUUAGCUCACUUGCAUAGUUUUUGCACACGACCGUUUGAGUAGUCUUUGCCUCUCCAGCUAAAUCCUGGCCUCCCUGAAGGCAGGAACCAAGCUAUAGAAUUCUAUCGUGGAACCUAAGGGUAGCUGGCACAGAGCUGGGCUCUAGAAAUUUGCAGAUGAAAACCAAAUCAACAAAAACUUGACUCCCUAUCACAGUAAUUUCUUAGAACCUCCAUCACAAUCACCUGGUAAGUUUGGUGACGCUGAGCAAGGAUAUCUGGGAGAAAGGCCCAGGAAUGUACAUGUUAAACAAGCCCCUUAGAGAUUCUCAUGCAUGUGGAAGUUUGGGAAUUAGAGAACUACUACAUAUGGGCACACCUCGUUUUAUUGCGUCUUGAUUUUUUGUGCUCCACGGGUACUAUUUUGUAGGGUUUUUUUUACAAAUUGAAGACAAAACCCUCUACCAGCAAAAAGAUUACAACUUGCGUUAUUGUGA